rnacentral:rRNA from 1 species
GGAUUAGAUACCCUAUUAUUCAGAAUAAUGAAGCCCUCUAUGUGUAAAGAAUUACUGCUGGCGGUUCACCUUCCUCCUAGAGGGCUAUGCGUUGGAGAAUGAAUUUGCACAACAAAUCCUUCCCUCUCUGGAGAUCGCCCAUUCUGUACACCUCUGUCUUAAAGAGGGGGGGAAGGACCCCUCUCCCUUCCUGAAGAGAGGAGAAAGACAAGUAAAGGUGCAGACUAUGAGAGGGACUAGCGUGUAAUCCAAUCCUACGUGAUCUAGAUGGGAAGAAGAAGGAGAGAAUUUAGGACGUAAGAGAAGUUUAUCAAACCUCUCUGAACAGGUUCAGGUGAACGUACACAUCGCCCGUCGCUC